GCAUGUUAGGGUGAUCUGGCAGCGACAUCUGUCACCCCACUGAUGACCGGGGUUGAUUCAGCUAAACUGGCUGGGUAGGCCAGUGUCCUCCUCCUCUCUCACUUCCAAGUGCGUCCCUCCCAAAGCUGCACACUCAGAAGAGACCGACCACCCCCAAUAGAGAAGGAGCGUUUCCUCAGUCAAGGGUAUAUGAGUAGCUACACUCCCCUGCUAGAACCUGCUACAAGCUCUCAAGAAGUAUGUUUGUAAGAAAAGGGGACCUAGCGAUUAGACAAGAAGUCAGAGUGCACU
rnacentral:snRNA from 1 species